rnacentral:rRNA from 1 species
CCUACGGGUGGCAGCAGUGGGGAAUAUUGGGCAAUGUGCGCAAGCCUGACCCAGCAACGCCGCGUGAAGGAAGAAGGCUUUCGGGUUGUAAACUUCUUUUAAGAGGGAAGAGCAGAAGACGGUGCCUCUUGAAUAAGCCACGGCUAACUACGUGUCAGCAGCCGCGGUAAUACGUAGGUGGCAAGCGUUGUCCGGAUUUACUGGGUGUAAAGGGCGUGUAGCCGGGCUGACAAGUCAGAUGUGAAAUCCCGUUGCUCAACCACGGAACUGCAUUUGAAACUGUCGGUCUUGAGUAUCGGAGAGGCAGGCGGAAUUCCUAGUGUAGCGGUGAAAUGCGUAGAUAUUAGGAGGAACACCAGUGGCGAAGGCGGCCUGCUGGACGACAACUGACGGUGAGGCGCGAAAGCGUGGGGAGCAAACAGGAUUAGAUACCCUAGUAGUC